UCCACGCAGUAAACGAUGAAUGUUAGUCGUCGGGGGCCUAGUGUCUUCGGUGAUGCAGCUAACGCAUUAAACAUUCCGCCUGGGGAGUACGGUCGCAAGAUUAAAACUCAAAGGAAUAGACGGGGACCCGCACAAGUGGUGGAGCAUGUGGUUUAAUUCGAAAAUACGCGAAGAACCUUACCUAGCCUUGACAUAUUUUAGAACUCCGUAGAGAUACAGAGGUGCCUUCGGGAGCUAAUUUACAGGUGCUGCACGGCUGUCGUCAGCUCGUGUCGUGAGAUGUUGGGUUAAGUCCCGCAACGAGCGCAACCCUCGUGCUUAGUUACUAACGGUUCGGCCGAGGACUCUAAGCAGACUGCCUUCGUAAGG
rnacentral:rRNA from 1 species